GCCGUUCAAUCAGCUGAGAGGAGCAGGCGCAGCGUUGGGGGGAAAAAACCCAGUCGCUCUGUUCGCUUUUUUUUUGUCGACAGAUCUGCAUAGACGGUAUGAAUCAAGAGAGCGUUUUGUUCAACUUGUCAGGCUGCUGGCUGCAGGACGGCCACCUGAGGAUUACACAUCGUUGACAUUGCCACACAAGCUCAGAUGCACCAGUUUAUAAGUCACCGUGGACCAGUUGAACCAAAUGAGUGGGUUGUGAAAAGUUUGAGGCAGUAGUGGGCCCUGCAGAGCUGGGGAUGAGUCACUCCUCUCCAUACAGCCCAGCAGAGAACAGCAGGCACGCAGUGGUGAGCCGCCUCUCCGCCUGCAUCUCUCCCAUCACAUGUUAUCCAGUGUGGACACUGACGACUGACUGAAAACCGCGAAUGCUGUUUACUGUCAAGGUCGCAAAAACCAGUCCUGGUUGUUUCGUCCCAUCUGACGACCCGGGUGGGGACUGGCAGCAUAAUUAAUGCUUGGUGCCUCGUCAUCUCUUUCCAUGUGUUUGUAUGGGAGUCUGUGUUUGAUAACUGUUGUCAUCAGAUAAUACAAGUUUAAUUCGGGGCUGGGACGCUAUGGCCGGAAAAUGUUAUCAAAAUAAAGAUUUUCAUAACAGUCCAUAUCGAUAAUUAACAAGAUAAAUGUCAAAUUAUUCAAGUUUAAAUACUAAUUAUUUUGCUCCUGAGUGAAGGUUGUGGUUUUAAACUCUUCUUGAAACAAAUAAUCUUUAAACUGCAAAACAUUUUACUAAUCUGAGGUGUAGAACAUUGAAAACAAUUAUGUAUUAUACCUCCUCACCAUGCUUGCA